AAAAAAAUGAUUAUUUGAGAAUUUGAAAUAUUUAUCAAAAUAUUUAUUGCUAAUGAUAUGAAUAAACAUUAUUUGGGAAAUCUAGGCCCAAAAAGGAAAAUUGGUUUGGUUAGUUUUUUGUGUUUUCCAAAGGGCAAAAUCAACUUGACGUUUGAAUUACCCACUCGGACUGGACUCUGGACUACGUAGUAGCAGAGCAGAGCAGAGCAUUUGCAUUCUCCUUAUAAUCUAUCGAAUCUUCAUCUCCAAAUCCUAAUCUUCAACUUCAAUAUGGGAAAUCGAAUUGCGAGAAUCCAAAACGAAACGCCAUGGUUGAUCUCUAUGAAGGAGCUUCGCAUGUUGGGGGCCUCAACCUCGCUGUAUGGCUACACAGUUCAAGUGAAUCCUUACGACAGUACAGAGAUUCCUGCUUCCCUAUUCCUCAAUCGCAAUCAUCAGUAUGGAAUGCCCUCUGAGAUCGUCAUAUUUACAAACGGAGCUGAGGUCAGGAGAAGUUUAAUCUCUCAGGAUUUCGUUAGAUACGUGAAGAUAAUACUCUCUGUUGAAGGUCCGUAUCUUGUUGUCAGAGGUGUCCUUCCUCAGGUCCUCGAUAUCUGCUGGUUCUGUUUUGAGUUUUGUAGCUAAAGAAUGACAAUUGAAUGCUGAGGAACAUAUGGGAUCCAAAGCCUACUUUCUGGGGAUGUGGUUUUCUAGGCCGAGAAUACAGCGGAAGGCAAGGUGUGACAAUCAUGAAAUGCAGAAUCUCCAGGCUCUUGCUGUAAAGACCAGCAUUUGAUUUGGAUGAUUUGAAGCUCGUUGAAGCUGACUUGGAAGAAAACAUACUGGGGACUAUUUCCAUUGUUGAUUGUGUGUCCAAAUCUUUGAAAUUAUCUAGUAUCUACUCCUCUCAUUUCUUUUGCUGCUUGUGCUGACUUAAACAUGUCUAGUACUUAUUUCACAUCUCAAUUAAUAGCUCUCUUCUGUAAGAGUGAAAACAAAUCUUCCUUCUUUCAAAUUGAAGAUUCUCCUGAUAUUAUGUGCAUCUGUCUGACAUGCUUGGGUAUGUUGAAUUUACCCUUUUUCUCCUUUUUUUUGUUUUGUGAUAAGUAUGCAUUUUAUUAAAAACUAGAUGGUACAGAAAAAGGUACAGUACUUAACAGCAAACUCUGUAAUUCAAUACUGCAUAUUAUCUCCUAGUAAGUACAAAAAACAAAUACUUAUCCAUCAUAUCUAAAAAUAGUGCUAUAACACCAAAAGUACAGUUUUAAUGCAUUUAUUUUUUACUCUAGAAAUCUUUAACUUCUUCCCAUCAAAGCAUGCCAUGUUCCUUUCAAGCCAUAAGGUCCACAUUAUGCAAUUGGGAAUAGUUCUCCAUAUUGGUUUUAAGCUCUUUUAACCUCCUGUUUUCCACACUUCAAACAAGCUACUAAUUUUCUCUGGUAACACCAAAGGGUAUGCCCUGCAUUAUUGAGCUGGUGAAGGGGCAUAGUAAAAAUAUUUCUUCUUUCACUAGGUGAAUAGAAACGAUAUGUAUAAUAGUGUAUGAUGUUAGAGAUUGUAAGAAAAACAAAUGUGGAGCUGGUGGUGCAAAGUAAAUAUUUCUUCUCUCUCUAGGUAUAAUAGAAACAAUAAGUAUAAUAGUGUAUGAUGUUAGAGAGUAAGAAAAACAAUGUCCAUAUUUGAUAUCAAGUAUAUAAGUAGUCAUAGCAUCAUAAAUCAGAAAUACAAGAAGAAAUGAAAGAACUGAUAUGUCAUUUGAAAGAUUCAGGUAUUAGUCCCUUCGUUGUUGCAAUCAUGAGCCUGUGAGUUGCUCUUCUGUUUUAUGCAGAUCAUUGCCUUCCUCAGAUUGACUCAUUUAACAGCCUGCAAUUAUGUGAGCAAUAGAAGUCAUAAGCUGGAAUGGUUUUGAAGCACCAUUUUAGCAUGAGCUGAAACUGGGUGGUGGAAGCAUAACUUAAAGUGAUAGAUAGAGCACUGAUAGACAGGAAGCGGUGCCACACACUUUUCUUCUUUUGACGUGUGUUGUUCUUCUACUGAUACGCUAGUUGGUGGUCUAUGAGACUAUUGGAUCCUUCCAUUUUCAGCUACAGUUCUUUUUAUCUCCUGACUGGGGGAAUCCAUGCCUAAUGGAGGAAUUAAUGGGAGCUUUACCAGUUCACUUGUGUGUCCAACUAUGCGUUACCAUCACAAACAGAAGAGCGGCAUCCGUACAGUACCAGAACUGUGUAGGCUAGCAAGAAGGAAACAGUUGUUCCAGCUUUUGCAUACUGUUGAAAGACAGAAAUUCUAUCCACGUUUUGUUGCUGCAGGGUUGAGUAUGUUCUAGGCAAAUCCCCAAUCGUACUGGCUGAACUUUCCUCAUCUGUAUCAGUAUAUGAAGUGUGUUUCAACUUUGAUAACAGGGUUGCUGCUCCUUUGAUGGUCCAUGAAUUCUGCUUCAAAUUUUGCUGCUCGCUCUAGGGUUGAUAUGAAGUUGGCACCAAAUGUAAGUGCAACCAAAAUGGAAAGGGAGAAAGGCUUCCACCAGUUUUUACAUUGGACGGGUGAGGGUUUUGAAUUUGACAGGAAAAUGAUGAGCAGGAAAAUGACAUAAAACAUGGCUAAGUGUUUUUGUGUUUUUCUAGGGUGUGGGAGAGUUUACUCCACAUGCCAUUAAUCUGAAUACUUUUGGACAUAGUUGAAAACACACACAAGAAUUAUGUUCUUCUUUUUGAGGAAAUUUGAGUAGGUACGGUUUAUGUAGAAAGUUAAAUUACCGUGUGUGAAUACCUUUGUUACAACCAAUUUCUUUGCAAGCUACUUCCAGACAAAUUAUAUAAACUGCGGUCCUUAGAGUUGCUUCUAAGGUUGAAUCUCCGAUUAGAGGAUUUGUACAUCUAACUUAAAUUAACAGAGGGAGUACUUUCUUUA